rnacentral:lncRNA from 1 species
GGAUUAGCUUUUGAGGUUGGUUAAUCGUCGGUUUGUCUUCUAAGUAUAUAGAGAUAGUCGGCAUGUGUCGUUGUAGUUGUUUUUGCAUAUCCUAUUCGCUCGAUUCAUGGAUUUGAUGUUUCUUUUACAAAAAUCUGAAUUGGAGCCUAGUGUUACUAAAUCUACUUGCACAUGUCGGACUUGGAUAUGACUUAGGAGAAAACCUGCGAUUCGAACCUGUCA